rnacentral:lncRNA from 1 species
GUUUUUGAACCAUCUGUUGAAUAAAUGUGUUAUCAGCCUCUUGGGACUAAUAUUUGUAUCGCAUUUAGUCUCUACUUAUGUGGGGAUGCCUUAGUACCCUAGUGGGGAUGAGGUGAAGGCAACUGUGAAGCGAUGGUCCACUUUGUCUUUGCAACGGCAGUUCAGGGUGAUGAAGAGCAACCCGACAGUGUAUGAUGUGUGCUGUGCGAGAAGCAAU